GACCCCUUCGUCUAGUGGUUAGGACACCGCCCUUUCACGGCGGCAACACGGGUUCGACUCCCGUAGGGGUCG
rnacentral:tRNA from 1 species